UGAGUCACCACCAGCCUUCAGCUCAGAGC
rnacentral:piRNA from 1 species